ensembl:lncRNA
GGAUGUUUGGGUUUCAAAGUUCAUCCUGUGUCUGCCUCUAAAAAACAUACAUUUGUCAACACGUCAACACAAGUGCAUGACAAUGUCAAGGUAGGUUUGUUAUCAGAUUACAACCAUGUAUGUAGCUACACUCAUUGUUAAACGGAGCUAAAGUAAGACGUUUUAUAUCUUUAAGUACCUACCAUGAUACCGCCACAGACCAGGCAUGCAGCUAUUCCUGUAAAUCCACCAUGGCUACUCCCACCUCCAGAGGUUGAUCUACUAGUGUUGGAGAGACUACGGAAAGAUAGGGAGGGUGUUAAUCCAUCUGGAUACUGUGUAUCAGGAUUUUGUGGCCAUUUACACAGAUGGUUUCAAAGAUCCAAGAACACGACAUACUGGGUCAGCAUUUGUAGUGCAGGAACGUAUUACAGAUCAUCUGGCUGUAUAUACGGCUGAGCUGAUGGCCAUACUGUUGGCCUUGCAGUGGGUGGCGGAAGUCAAGCCAGACAGAGUAGUUAUUUGCUGUGAUUGAUGUGAGGUGUUGAUGAGUCAGCAGUCCUUUAGCUCAUGUAGCAGACAAUACCUGCUUUAUGAGGUACUACAAACUCAUGGCACUAUUAGACAGAUGGGUAUACAUAUCAGAUUCACUUGGGUCCCAGUCCAUGUGGGGGUGUAGGGGAAUGAGGCAGUUGAUGUUGUGGCUAAACAAGCACUUAGUAGUUGGGAUGUUAUAGUUUCAAUGAGCAAGGCAGAAGCAAAAAGCCUGAUAUUGACAGUGAUGGUGCCACGAUGGCAGGAGCAGUGGAAUAGAGCUAUGAAGGACAGGGAUUUAUUUCAAGUACAGAGGAAAGUCUGGGACGGGAGGACAGCAUGAAGGGGCAGAAGAGAGAUGGCUAUUUUUACAAGGUUAAGUGUGGGACACAACCGGUUGAAUAAGACUUUAAAAGGGAUAGGAAAACACCCAACAGGAAAGUGUGAUUAUUGCCAGGAAACAGACCAUGGAGCAUGCAUUGCUACAGUAUGGCAGUAUCAGAAGGAAAAGGAGAGGAUGAGAGCUAGUAUGAGGGAGAAGGAGAUACAGGAAAUUAGUUUUAAAAGUAUAUUGAGUAGAACUUCAUUGGUUAUAGUCUCAAAUAUUUUAUAUAUUUUUUAAGAUGAACGGGGCUGGCAGGAUUUAGUUUCUCCCUGUCUCUGGACCACACUCCAGUACAGUCGGUGGCGGUAAUGCAUCAUGACGAUGAAUUGUGAACCGAAGAUAAAGCUUACCGAAGAAGAAGCCCAGGCACGCGCAAAAAGUGGCGCACCAAGUUCUCGCAUCGAUUUUUCUACAUAGUAUGCUGUCGCCACUCUCUUGCGGUAAUUGUUCUACACAUUUUUAAAAGAAACCAAAAGCUUUCAAAAUAUUACGUAUUUUAUCACUAACAGAUGAGAGGACAGCUUAAGUACUUUUCCCGGACAUUACCCCUUCACUACAGUCCGCAUUUCUGUGUCCAGAUUGUAACAAAACAAGUGCAUGGCAAUGUCAAGGAGGGCAUGUAGUUUGCCCUCCCGGUGAUGCGUUGGGCAGAUCGUACCACCCUCUGUUGGUGAGACCUCAUCUCAUUGGUCCAGGAGGUGGGCUUCAGCACUCCUCACCUCAUCUCAGCCAGUCACAUCGAGGUCCACAACUGCGAGCUCAAAAGAAAGCUGGCUACAAGUGAAGACAGACACAUCGGGGAGGCAACUGCGUGCAUCCUUAUCCAAUUCCGAGGCGCAUAUUGAAGAUUUUGGAAGAACUGUCCACAUUUACUUUUUGUCAGCCAACAAGAUGAGUAGGCCUAACGAAAAGCAAAAGCACUAGCCUAUGUCAAUCUACUGUCCCAAAUUAAUACAACCACAAGCAUUCAACAAACUGUUUUAAGCUGUGAGCCUGAUGCAACAGAUGAGAACGGUUAGCUUAAAAUGUUGAUAAACUAUUAGGCAAUUUCUUCACAUUAUAAGUUCAGCAAUGCGCACACAGCAGUAUUACCAGGAAAACACCAUUCUCAAAAGGGACCACAAAUGAGAUUAUGCAUGUAAUGCUUUUAUUAUAAAGGAGCAUUCUUAUCUUCCCCAAACAUGAAACUCACAUGCUGCGUAUGCAUGUCAGGCUCUACACCCUUUGUAAAUCGGAUUAAUUUUAAGAAGUUAUUUUGCCACUUUAGUUGUGAUACAAACCUUCUAGACCUAUGGGCUAGGCUACAUGAGGUGUGAUACAAACCUUAUCAAAACAUAUAGACCUAUGGGCUAGGCUACAUGAGGUGUGUGACUGAUUAGAAAAAGUUGCAAAAAAAAAGCAUGCACUGUUUGCCUUAAGCUGGCCAUCAUUCACAAGCCGUAAUAUAUCAUUCACAGGUGAUAGGCUAAUAUUGUCACCCAUCAGACUAUUUUUGAUUUAAACGUAACAUAUUCUAAAUAAUAUACAGUACCAGUCAAAAGUUUGGACACCUACUCAUUCCAGGGUUUGCCUUGAUUACAGCUUUGCACACUCUUGGCAUUCUCUCAACCAGCUUCAUGAGGUAGUCACCUGGAAUGCAUUUCAAUUAACAGGUGUGUCAUGUUAAGUUAAUUUGUGGAAUUUCUUUCCUUCUUAUUGCGUUUGAGCCAAUCAGUUGAGUUGUGACAAGGUAGGGGUGGUAUACAGAAGAUAACCCUAUUUGGUAAAAGACCAAGUCCAUAUUAUGGUAAGAACAGCUCAAAUAAGCAAAGAGAAACGACAGUCCAUCAUUACUUUAAGACAUGAAGGUCAGUCAAUACGGAAAAUUUCAAGAACUUUGAAAGUUUCUUCAAGUGCAGUCGGAAAACCAUCAAACACUAUGAUGAAACUGGCUCUCAUGAGGACCGCCUUAGGAAAGGAAGACCCAGAGUUACCUCUGUUGCAGAGAAUAAGUUCAUUAGAGUUACCAGCCUUAGAUAUUGCAGCCCAAAUAAAUGCUUCACAGAGUUCAAGUAACACACAUCUCAACGUCAACUGUUCAGAGGAAAAGGCGUGAAUCAGGCUUUCACGGUCGAAUUGCUGCAAAGAAGCCACUACUAAAGGACACCAAUAAUAAGAAGAGACUUGCUUGGGCCAAGAAACACAAGCAAUGGACAUUAGAAAUGUGAUAUUUUUGGUUACAACCACUGUGUCAUGUGAGAUGCAGAGUAGGUGAUCGGAUGAUCUCUCCAUGUGUGGUUCCCACUGUGAAUUAAGGAGGAGGUGUGACAGGUGAUUUAUUUAGAAUUCAAGGCACACUUAACCAGCAUGGCUACCAAAGCAUUCUGCAGCUAUAUGCAAUCCUAUCUGGUUUGCACUUAGUGCGACUAUCAUUUGUUUUUCAACAGGACAAUGACCCAACAUACCUCCAGGCUGUGUAAGGGCUAUUUGACCAAGAAGGAGAGUGAUGGAGUGCUGUAUCAGUUGAGAUAGUUUGGGAUGAGUUGGACCGCAGAGUGAAGGAAAAACAGCCAACAAGUGCUCAGCAUAUGUGGGAACUCCUUCAAGACGGUUGGAAAAGUAUUCCAGGUGAAGCUGGUUGAGAGAAUGCAUUGAGUGUGCAUGAUUCCAUAUGUGUUAUUUCAUAGUUGAUGUCUUCACCAUUAUUCUACAGUGUAGAACAUAGUAAAAAUAAAGAAAAAUCCUUGAAUGAGUAGGUGUGUCUAAACCUUUGACUGGUACUGCAUGUGUGAAAUUUGACCAUUAUCAUGCUCCUGUCUCAAAACAGGGGCAGAGAGAAUAAAAUACAUGACUGCACUUAAAUUGCGAAUGGAGGAUGUUUUUCCCAUGUUUCAUUUUGAUGCCAGCCAGGUAAGCAAAACUCCUGUUUCAAAGAUAAGCAAUGUGCUUAAAAUUUGGAAGGUUGAGAAAUAAAUAUAGUUGGCCUAGCCUAUCGAAAGCUGAUUGGAUCCUCAGUUUUCUCACGCAAUUGCAUAGCCUAAAUAAAUGUUGCGCAACAUGAGCUCAUGGGCUCUCAUGAAGUGUUUUGAUUAGAAUUUCGAUGACAUUUGCAGUGAUGUCAGAGUGAUUAGAGGGACAAUAGUGUGGAGUACCAGGCAGUUAGCACGUUUGGUAGGCUAGUAAUGACCAUCAGCAGCAUCAGAGCUUAGAGAAGCCUAAUUACCGUGACUAAACGGUCACAUGGAAUUGAACUGCAAUCAUGACUCAUGAACGCCGGUGUGGCAGUAAUGUGGUCACCUUUACAGCCCUAAUCCUAGGCAGUCACGUCCAUUUCCAAUGUGUUGCAGGUGAUAUUAGCUAUGCAUCUGGCACUUACCGGCUCUUCAAAUUGCCCAAAAAGCUUGAGAUGUCAAUCGCAAUAGUGACCUACAAGGGAAGUGUGUCUGACUACCCUUGUCAGCUGUAGUUUGACUCCUCCCACUGCUUCAAGAAAAACGCUGCAGGUCGACGGGGUUAUCUUCCAGUGCUCUCUCUUCUCCCCAGACUUCUGCAUCCAGAAGUAUGGCCACCUCAGCCCUUUCUUGCUGUGCUGCUCGGUGAAUCAAUGCUCCAAGACAGGCAAAGCCCCAGUAGCCUGUGGAGAGACCUAACUUAACGACACCACAUCCAUGAUGGAACCUCCUUAGAGAGCCGGGGUGUAUGGCCCAAUAAUCUUGCCUUCCUGCUGAAGUGUGCAUUCACUACUUCCCACAAAUCUAAAAGCAUUGGAUUGUUGUUUGCCUGGGAUAUUGGGAGUUUCCAUAUUUAUAGUGAUAAUUCCCAAGAAGCCGGUGUUUGUUGGAUAUGUUGGCAUGGUGUUGUUAGGCCCGAGACCAAAUCGAGGACUGGCAAACCAUGCCAAUAUAUCCAACAAACACCAGCUUCGAGGGCAUUAUCACUUGUACACGGGUUACCAACAUAUUCAAAUAAUGAUCGACAUUUUCAUUAAAAACGUUAUUUUUAUACA